rnacentral:rRNA from 1 species
AGCAACACCGCGUGAAGGAAGAAGGCCUUCGCAUCGUAAACUUCUGUCCUUGGGGAAGAAGAACUGACGGUACCCAAGGAGGAAGCCCCGGCUAACUACGUGCCAGCAGCCGCGGUAAUACGUAGGGGGCAAGCGUUAUCCGGAAUUAUUGGGCGUAAAGAGUACGUAGGUGGCAACCUAAGCGCAGGGUUUAAGGCAAUGGCUCAACCAUUGUUCGCCCUGCGAACUGGGAUGCUUGAGUGCAGGAGAGGAAAGCGGAAUUCCUAGUGUAGCGGUGAAAUGCGUAGAUAUUAGGAGGAACACCGGUGGCGAAGGCGGCUUUCUGGACUGUAACUGACACUGAGGUACGAAGGCGUGGGGAGCAAACAGGAUUAGAUACCCUGGUAGUCCACGCCGUAAACGAUGAGCACUAGGUGUCGGGGUCGCAAGACUUCGGUGCCGUAGUUAACGCAUUAAGUGCUCCGCCUGGGGAGUACGCACGCAAGUGUGAAACUCAAAGGAAUUGACGGGGACCCGCACAAGCAGCGGAGCAUGUGGUUUAAUUCGAAGCAACGCGAAGAACCUUACCAGGACUUGACAUCCCUCUGACAGACCCUUAAUCGGGUUUUUCUACGGACAGAGGAGACAGGUGGUGCAUGGUUGUCGUCAGCUCGUGUCGUGAGAUGUUGGGUUAAGUCCCGCAACGAGCGCAACCCUUGCCAUUAGUUGCCAGCAGUAAGAUGGGCACUCUAGUGGGACUGCCGGGGACAACUCGGAGGAAGGUGGGGAUGACGUCAAAUCAUCAUGCCCCUUAUGUUCUGGGCUACACACGUGCUACAAUGGCCGGUACAGAAAGCAGCGAAGUCGUGAGGCGGAGCAAAUCUCGAAAACCGGUCCCAGUUCGGACUGCAGGCUGCAACUCGCCUGCACGAAGCCGGAGUUGCUAGUAAUCGCGGAUCAGAAUGCCGCGGUGAAUGCGUUCCCGGGUCUUGUACUCACCGCCCGUCA